rnacentral:rRNA from 1 species
AACCUGGGAACUGCAUUCGAAACUGGCAGGCUUGAGUCUUGUAGAGGGGGGUAGAAUUCCAGGUGUAGCGGUGAAAUGCGUAGAGAUCUGGAGGAAUACCGGUGGCGAAGGCGGCCCCCUGGACAAAGACUGACGCUCAGGUGCGAAAGCGUGGGGAGCAAACAGGAUUAGAUACCCUGGUAGUCCACGCCGUAAACGAUGUCUACUUGGAGGUUGUGCCCUUGAGGCGUGGCUUCCGGAGCUAACGCGUUAAGUAGACCGCCUGGGGAGUACGGCCGCAAGGUUAAAACUCAAAUGAAUUGACGGGGGCCCGCACAAGCGGUGGAGCAUGUGGUUUAAUUCGAUGCAACGCGAAGAACCUUACCUGGUCUUGACAUCCACAGAAGUUUGCAGAGAUGCGA